rnacentral:tRNA from 1 species
GCCUCCGUGGCGGAAUCGGCAGACGCGCACGGCUUAGGACCGUGUGGGGAAACUCGUGCAGGUUCAAAUCCUGCCGGAGGCACCA